rnacentral:rRNA from 1 species
GACGAACCGUGCGAACGUUGUUCGGAAUCACUGGGCUUAAAGGGCGCGUAGGCGGCCUGCCAAGUCCGGGGUGAAAGCCUCCAGCUUAACUGGAGAAGUGCCCUGGAUACUGGCGGGCUCGAGGGAGGCAGGGGUUGUGGGAACUUCCGGUGGAGCGGUGAAAUGCGUUGAUAUCGGAAGGAACGCCGGUGGCGAAAGCGCACAACUGGUCCUCUUCUGACGCUGAGGCGCGAAAGCCAGGGGAGCAAACGGG